rnacentral:rRNA from 1 species
AACGAACGCUGGCGGCAUGCCUAACACAUGCAAGUCGAACGAGACCUUCGGGUCUAGUGGCGCACGGGUGCGUAACGCGUGGGAACCUGCCCUUAGGUUCGGAAUAACUCCCCGAAAGGGGUGCUAAUACCGGAUAAUGUCUUCGGACCAAAGAUUUAUCGCCUUUGGAUGGGCCCGCGUUGGAUUAGCUAGUUGGUAGGGUAAAAGCCUACCAAGGCGACGAUCCAUAGCUGGUCUGAGAGGAUGAUCAGCCACACUGGGACUGAGACACGGCCCAGACUCCUACGGGAGGCAGCAGUGGGGAAUAUUGGACAAGGGGCGAAAGCCUGAUCCGGCAAUGCCGCGUGAGUGAUGAAGGCCUUAGGGUUGUAAAGCUCUUUUACCCGGGAUGAUAAUGACAGUACCGGGAGAAUAAGCUCCGGCUAACUCCGUG